GUUUCACCUCACACGCCGCGCAGAAUAAGCACAAUUGUGUGUUAUUAUUUAGUUGGGUCAGUUAAGGUGAUUAUUGUUGCUGGCGCGCAGCCCACUGUACUGUCAACGCUUUCCGAUGCACUACCACAGGAAGACGUAGUUAUACCUAGCGGAAUCUACUGAUACGGUGAGCUGUCAGAUGCAAUGAUAAGCGAUAUGUAGGUAGUAAAAUAUGAAGAUUGGAAUCAGAAGAAAACAUAAAGAUUAAAUGUACAAGUGAAUUGGUAGAUAAGUGAAUUAGUUAUUAUUGAACUUAAAUCUAAUGUUAGUUUCUUAACUUAAAUCUAUUGUUAGUAGCUGUUGAAACUAAAAUAUACUUGAGAGCACGUGUGCCGAACGAACUGUGCUGAGAAGUUAGCGUCUUGAUUAAUAGAUACGAAUACGUUGAUCACAAAAUAGAAGAAAUCGUUGUGCCACAACAACCAAGGUUGAUAAGCCGAUAGCUCUCAAGGAAAUACAAACUUUACCGAGUAAUAUUACUCUGGAUAGUGUAGACGAAUCGUCCUCCCGCGAUCAAGAUGCAGAAUGUCGGUGUGAUGUUUGCUUGAGAUGAAUAACAUUCAGCAGCCGCUUGUUAACUACAAAACCUAACGAUGUCAAAUGAAUGCCAGCCGUAAAUUUUAACCACCAUGAGAUAUCCACCAAAUAUACCAAACGAAAAGAUGAAGAAAGCAACAACUUGCAAAUAAGAAACCUAUGCGAUGGUUUGUUAAUCGUUCCGGAUAAUGAGGGUAAAUCAUGUCAAAAUACACAGGCCAAGUCUGGAAACGGCGAUCGAUUUACUGCAUAAGAUACUAAUGUAUUAUUACGUAAUAUAACUUAGGCGCUAUCCACAAAUUAUGUAACGUA